GCUUAGCCAUAAAACAUUCACCCACACUUAACCCGCCAGGAAAUUACGAGCCAAGCUUAAAAUCCAAAGGACUUGACGGUGCCCCAUCCAUCUAGAGGAGCCUGUUCCAUAAUCGAUCUUCCCCGAUCAACCUUACCGUUUCUUGACACCCCCUCCCCCAGUCUGUAUACCUCCGUCGCAAGCUUACCAUAUGACUGCGCAUAAUGGGCUAAACGAGUUUAACACCCCACACGACAGGUCAAGGUGCAGCCUACGAAACGGAAAAAAAUGGGCUACAAUUUCUNUUCUAGAACAAACAGAAAACUACAUGAAAUCUAGUAAUUAAGGAGGAUUUAGUAGUAAAAAGAAAAUAGAGCGUCUUUUUAAUUAGGCUAUGGGCAAGU
rnacentral:rRNA from 1 species